UCCUGUGCCAUCAACUUCUUCUCGGCAUCACUGUCCACGUGCUCACUGAAAUCUGAACUUGCGUCCAACGGAACGCUCGUUCACUGCCGCAGGCAUCCAACGUCCGCCGCCAUCAAAGGUUCGCCGCCAUCUAUUUCAAAUUUCCCACUCCACUGGAAACAACUAGAGGGAAUACUCGAAAAUCUCAAAGAGAAGCCAGAUGUUGGAACUUUGUUGCUGGCACUACAACGAACUUUAGAAUUUGAGGAUGAAUUAGCAGAAAAAUUUGGAGGCCGCUCUACUAGUAGAGAGAUUGGGAAUGAGAUAGAAGAAAUUGGCAGGGACAGUAAUAGUCAAACUGUAUCAGAUAUUCGAAAAAAGUACGAAAAAAAGCUUGCAGCUAAUCAAGGAGAGCCUGAACCUAACGAACCUGGUUAUACUGCCCCGCCACUUUCCC